GGCCGGAAUAGCUCAGUUGGUA
rnacentral:tRNA from 1 species